rnacentral:rRNA from 1 species
AUUGAACGCUGGCGGCAUGCCUUACACAUGCAAGUCGAACGGUAAUAGGUCUUCGGAUGCUGACGAGUGGCGAACGGGUGAGUAAUACAUCGGAACGUGCCUAGUAGUGGGGGAUAACUACUCGAAAGGGUGGCUAAUACCGCAUGAGAUCUACGGAUGAAAGCAGGGGAUCGCAAGACCUUGUGCUACUAGAGCGGCCGAUGGCAGAUUAGGUAGUUGGUGGGAUAAAAGCUUACCAAGCCGACGAUCUGUAGCUGGUCUGAGAGGACGAUCAGCCACACUGGGACUGAGACACGGCCCAGACUCCUACGGGAGGCAGCAGUGGGGAAUUUUGGACAAUGGGCGAAAGCCUGAUCCAGCAAUGCCGCGUGCAGGAUGAAGGCCUUCGGGUUGUAAACUGCUUUUGUACGGAACGAAAAGCUCUGGGUUAAUACCCUGGGGUCAUGACGGUACCGUAAGAAUAAGCACCGGCUAACUACGUGCCAGCCGCCGCCGUAAUAC